CACCCCGCGCCAAUAAUGGGACGUUCCACACAAGAUAGGCGGUGCAGCCCUAAGCGCCAGCCCGGCGAGGCUCCAGGAGGGCGCUGUUCGCUGUUAGCUAGGGGAAGGCGCGGGCUGGGCGCGUCCCGCCGCGCUGCCGGGGGCGGAGGGAGCGCAGGGAAGGCUAGGUUUUCCCGGCGGCCUCAGCCGGGAGACCGGCACCUCCUCGCGUGCCGCUUGGGGUGGGCGUGCAGUGGCUGCCCGCCCGUGCCUGCGGACGGAAGUCACGUGGGCGCCGCUGACCGACUGCGCGCGGGGGGGGGGGGCGGGGCUAGGCUGGCCGUUGGAGGCUGUUGUGGCGGGGCAUGCUUCUGGGUGGUCCCGGUGUCCGGCCGUCCCUCUCUGGAGCGGGGGGAAGGCGGCUGCUGGUGGCUGCCGCUCGCCCGGGGCUUCAGGAGGGAGGGAGGUGCCGCUCGCUGCCGGCCGGUUGGUUCGGGCGCUGCUGACAGCGCGGCGGGCGAAUGCGGGGAAAAGUUCCUCGGCUUGUUCCUGUCGGUCAUAAGAAAAACUCCGUCUCGCCCGCGCACCUAGUUGAUUUGUACGUGUCGCGCUGAGAAAGCAAUACUCGGGUGGUCGGGCUGAGAAAGCCACUGGUGGUGGUUAGGCUUUACAGGGGCCUCUCUUCCCUGGUUCCCUCCCUUCUGGGAACAAACUGGGGGCGAGGAACAGGGGAAGAGCCUUAAUGAAAAACUUUUUAACCGUAAAUCUCUACCUGAGCCUGUUUAUAUUUUCUAAGGUGCCAUCUGGAACAGGCUCCCCAGGGAGGCAGUGAACGGCACCAAGCCUGACGCUAUUCAAGAAGCACCUGGACAACACUCUCAGAGAAAUGGCGUAAAUUUGGGGUUGUCCUGUACAGGGACAGGAGUUGGACUUGAUAAUCCUUGUGGAUCCCUUCCAACUCAGGACUUUCUAUGACUCUGUGGUCUGCGUUGAUGUUAUGUUUGGCAUGCAAGUUAAAGCUGGUUCCUAUGACUUAAACCACUAAAUUAGAUAGGUCUUGCAAUUUGGCCAGUGUUACCUAACAGACAGCAAAGCAGCUCUCCACAAAAAAUCCGUAGUUGCAAAAAGAUUGAAGUCAAAAAGUUUUCUGAACUAGCCAGGUUUUAUUUUAAGAAGAUGAAAAUGAAGACACAAAAGAACACAUUGUUCAGAAGGGAAGUGGAGAAGGGUGACAACAGAGUAGUUUGACAGAAAGGAAGGAGAAAUGUGUGAGAUGGGAGUAACUGAGUAGCUAGCAUUGCUGCUGACUGGAUGGAAAGAGGACUGUGGUUCACCUCCCAGAAACAAGAUGACAGUAAGCACAGCUCACUUGCAAGAAGACAGUGGGAACAUGCAUGUAUUUUUUCAUGGACAUUUAAGAUUAAAUUUUGUUGCUCAGCUGCCUUUGGGGGCUGUUUGUCUCUCAGGUGUCAACUGUUUCCACUCUUCUCCCCAAUGAAAAAGCUCCUCUCAUCCAUGCUGUAAGUUUACUUAAGUUUAAGCCAUUCUCAUAAUCUAUGGAAGCCUGGCUGCACAGCUUUGAUGGUAUGGCACAUUGUUUUGCUUUGUUCUGGGUCUGGCAGGGUGGUAAAACCAAACCGAGAUACUGGAACAGGAAGGAGAGGUAGCAAAGAAAGAAUCAAAGAGCCAAAUCUUAGGUUUUGUUGAAAUUACAAAUAAGGUGGCAAACCAAGGAACAGGAGAAAGAUGGAUAAAAGUUGAAAAUUGCUGCUUGAGAGUCCUGUUGAUUACCAUAUAAAAACUUAGUUUUCUUGUAAAACAAUUCCUUUCCAAUGGCUAAUGGUGGCUUAAUCUCUAACAAAAUGCUAAAUUAAUUCCUUAUUGUAUGUAUCUGCUAGUUGAAAUGUUUCUGCAGGCAAAAGUAUGCCUUUGCUGUUGUUUGAUCCCACCCAAAAUCUUUGAUGAGCUCUUUUAGAGCUGUAUUGCACUGCAAAAUACUUAUUUCCAUUGCAGAUGCAAAAUAAUUUAGCUCCCUGUUCUCCUCAGCUCUGUUAGUUUUGCAAGGUUAGUAGAAAUUUUAAUAAGUAGUAGUGCCUUUAUUUUUUAACCAAGUCAGCAAAUCUUAUCCUGGCUAUCUACAGGGAGUAGAUCUGAUGAGUAAGAAGCUGCUUUUUUUAUAUAGUUACUUUUCAGAGGUUCACAGUCUGAAAAUGGUUGUGACAUAACUGGGUCACAUCUGAAAUUUUUCUAUAAGCUGCAUAAAAUGGGAAGUUGAGGUAGCUGCUUUUGUCAGAAGGUAUAUUCUUAGAGCUGCAGUGAAUCAUGUAGCUGAGAGAUUUGCUUAUUGUACUGUUACGGAAAACUGCAAACCCAUCAUGAAUCUGUAACCGAUUAGUAGUCCUGCAGUCUCUUAAAUCUGUUGCUUUUUAAUAAUAGCAAAGUAAGAAUUACAAUAUAUAUGCAUGUGCAUCACAUAUUGUGUUUCUUCUGUCGUUGCCUUCAUUUUACAUGUUUAAUUGUGGGCAUGCUGUAUUAUGAAGAGUGUGGUGUCCCAGGGUUUGCCUGUUAUGAGCAUUGGAGGGGAGGAAAGUAGUAAGACAAGUAAGAAUGGUAAACCUAUUUCAGCUGCCGGUAGCCCAAGUAUGUAACAAAUAAUUUUCAGAUUUUGAUGCAUGGUCUAACUUUUGGUUGGAAACAAGAAUGGAAUGACUCAGAGAUCAUGCAGAUUGCUGUCUGGACUGGGAAAUUAUCAUAAAACAAGAUUAAGAAGCUUACGCAGUUUACUUCAGGUAAGAAUCCUUAUGCUGUUUUUAUAUCAGUGGACAGGCCGGCUGAUUCUUGCUGCCAAAUCUCCUAUCCCAAACAGCGGAAAAAAAAAUUAUAAUUCGGGAUAUAAGAUAGAUUGGGUGAGAGUAUCUGAAGUCUAGGCUUCUGCUUUGGUUCAAAUAUUUGAGCUUUUCUUAUAGAUGUUCUGAUUUAUCUUAAAGGUUAUUGAGUAUUUUUUAGGAGUUGGGCAGUUAGUCAUAGGUGACCUAGAAGGUUAAUCCAAAGGCUACUUAGAGUCUGCAAAACCUAAUCCACUAACUUUAAAAUGAAUGUUAAAUCCCGUGGUGUACGUAUACAGUGUAUGUAUACCUCACAUGUCUACCUCACUGGUAUAAAUGCUAGGGACAGAUACAGCAUGCUACUAUACAUUUGUACUGCUCAUUUGUCUGAACAACAUUUAAUUUAGUUUUAUUCAGGUCAUUCAAAUAUGAUAUGGGUGUCUAAACUGGUAGCUGGAUUGUUAUCCUUAUGAACAAUAAUCAAAUUAGCUUUUAUUGGGUUAAAAACUCCCAUUUUUCUGUUUAUUUCUCUUCCCUCAGAGUUAAGUCCACAAACCUGACUGACCUGGAAGACAGAAAUGUCUGGAGAGGUGUAAGCAAGCAGUUUGAAAGGCAGAGAGCAAGAAUCUCUUAAAACAGAGCAGUCACUGAUGGGUGAAGUUUUUAAUUUUUUUGGCAGCUGGUCUGCUUUGAGAGAUUUUUCUUCUCUUGCUAAUUUUUCCGUCAUCCCUGCUGGACAUUUCUGCCCUACUGGUUAAGUCAAAUGCCAAAUCAAAUGUUGGUAUGGCUGUGCUCUAACUGAGGAGUAAUAUUUCCCUUGUGAAGGCACAGCAGAAACAAUUAUUUUUCUGCUUUUGUUUUAAGUGCAAGUACUGAUUGUGUUACAAGACAAAACUUAAGUGUCAAUUAGUCAUGUAGAAAACUUGUAUUGUUUCCCUAGCUUUAAUUGUUUUUUGAAAGAGUUUCCUCCAGAGCUGCUGAGUUUAAAAAACAAAUAGAUAUACUUACCAUAAGUAGGGUUCAGUGGUGGCCUUUUCUAUGUUGCUUUAGGCCCUUGAAUGGGUUUUAUACAUUUUUUUAAUGUUAUGUCCUGAAAAAAAAUCUGUCUUUCCUAAAGAAGUGCACAUUUAUAGUAAAACAUUUUUCUAGCUAGACCUGUGCGCACACACGGUGAGUUAGGGACAAAACGUUAGCACAACUGAAAUAAAAUUUUCAGUUAAUGAAAGUCAAAUCCAAGUGUGAAUUCCAAAUUUGGUUAACAAACAGCUUUAUCUUUGUGGUUUCUGAGUACUUUGUAUUUUCCUAACCACUUAGCUUUCCUACUACGAAAAAUAAAUGUUUAUCAUUAAAUACCAUAGACUCUAUCAAACAGACUUAUUUUUUUAUAAACUUCAGUUUGGGUGACUGGACUGGUAUCAUUUAACUGGAAAGAGUAACCUGUUUCAGCAACGUGGGUUGUGUUGCUGAUAUUUUCCCGUUGCUGCAAAGUGUGAAGACUGGAAAGCUCAAGUAUUUCCCAUAGGGCAGAUACUGUCUGGAUAAAUCAAAAUGAAAUAGCACUUGAAUAUAUUGGGCUAUCCAAGGUGCAGCAUAAAUGAUCCCUGGAAAGGAAGAUAAAAUUAUUAAUGUUUUAAACAUACCUCCUACGAAAAAAAAACUUUUUACUUGAGUGAGGUAGUAGACACUCCAGAAGGGAGAGCUGCUCAGCAGGAGGAUCUGGAUAGGCUGGAAGGGUGGGCCAGCAAGAACCUUAUGAAGUUCAACAAGGAGAAGUGUAAGGUCAUGCACCUGGGAAAACAUAAUCUGGGAGUGCAGCACAGACUGGGAUCCACCUGGCUGGAGAGCAGCUCUGUGGAAGGGGGCAUGGGGGUCCUGGUGGACAGAAAGCACAACAUGAGCGAACAGUGUGCUGCUGCGGCCAAGAAGGCCAACAGGAUGCUGGGUUGCGUCAAAAAGGGCAUCACCGGCAGAGAUAAAGAAGUCAUCAUCCCUCUCGGCUCAGCGCUUGUCAGGCCACACCUGGAGUACUGUGUACAGUUCUGGUCCCUGCUAUAGAAAAAAGGAUGUGGCCAGGCUGGAAGGGGUCCAGAGAAGGGCCACCAAGAUGAUCAAAGGACUGGGAAGCCUGCCAUAUGAGGCUAGGCUGGGAGAACUGGGUUUGUUCAGCCUUGAGAAAAGGAGGCUCAGAGGGAGUCUCAUCACCAUGUACCAGUACUUAGGGGGUAGCUACAAAGAAGAUGGAGACUCCCUUUUUACACAGAGUCACAUGGAGAGGACAAGGGGGAAUGGACACAAGUUGCUCUUGGGGACAUUCCAAUUAGACACCAGAGGAAAAUUUUUCACAGUGAGGAAAGUCAACCAUUGGAAUCAUCUCCCCAGGGAAGUGGUUGACUCGGCCACAUUGGACACUUUCAAGAGUUGGCUGGACAGGGUGCUGGGCCAUCUUGUCUAGACUGUGCUCUUCCUAGAAAGGUUGGACUAGAUGAUCGCUGAGGUCCCUUCCAACCUGUGAUUCUGUGAUACUUUUCCCUAACCUGUCUAAUAAAUUGCUUUAAAUAUGUGA